rnacentral:rRNA from 1 species
UUUAGGGGUAAACAGGAGAAAUCCGAAUAUCUGAAGGAAGUGAUUCACGUAAAAUCUACAUUGUACAUUAUUUGUAAAUUGAUGACACUUUAAACUCCUUUCAUUGAACUUUGUUUAAUGUUAAGGAUCCAGUUUAAUGUCACAAUUUUCAUGAUAACUUGUUUAUAAUGUAGUUUACCGCAUUUCUACCUUCCUUAUUAUAAAAAAAAAAACGUCGCGACCCAUUGAAUUCCAGUCAAAGAUAUUAUAGAAAGUUUCAUAUAACCGGGUAUUUUUUUUUUUAUAAAAUAUCAUGUUUUGUUGUAUGUAUCUCUAUAAAUUUAUCUGACUGAUUAUUCGAUGGUAUCAAAAAAAAUAAUAAAGACUAACCCGCACAUUGAUGCGUUUGAAAAUUUUUGCAAUUAUUUUUUUUUCAAUGUGAUUCUUUUAUUACGGACCUAAUGGUCCGUAUAGAAGUAAGCAUUGUUGGCAAUAAUUUUCUCAAACAGAUGGGUUAAUCUUUGUCUGCGGCGAAUAUGUUUCGGAUUUUCGCCUGACCC